rnacentral:rRNA from 1 species
AUUGAACGCUGGCGGCAUGCCUUACACAUGCAAGUCGAACGGCAGCACGGGUGCUUGCACCUGGUGGCGAGUGGCGAACGGGUGAGUAAUACAUCGGAACAUGUCCUGUAGUGGGGGAUAGCCCGGCGAAAGCCGGAUUAAUACCGCAUACGAUCUACGGAUGAAAGCGGGGGACCUUCGGGCCUCGCGCUAUAGGGUUGGCCGAUGGCUGAUUAGCUAGUUGGUGGGGUAAAGGCCUACCAAGGCGACGAUCAGUAGCUGGUCUGAGAGGACGACCAGCCACACUGGGACUGAGACACGGCCCAGACUCCUACGGGAGGCAGCAGUGGGGAAUUUUGGACAAUGGGCGAAAGCCUGAUCCAGCAAUGCCGCGUGUGUGAAGAAGGCCUUCGGGUUGUAAAGCACUUUUGUCCGGAAAGAAAUCCUUGGCCCUAAUACGGUCGGGGGAUGACGGUACCGGAAAAAUAAGCACCGGCUAACUACGUG